rnacentral:ncRNA from 1 species
CAUCGUGAGGUGGAAUCUGAAGGAAGCCUAAGGCAAAUUCUCGGUCUGAGGAAUACGAACUAUAUAUGAGGCUUGCUAAGGACGGACGAGUUUGCAAAACAAAGUCCAACACUACCCGAAUCCCUAGGAGUAAAUAUAGCAGAUAUGUGAGAAGAAGGUUGUU